AUGGCCAAAUAUUGGUGGGGAAGCUCUAUAGACAAACGCACACUCCAUUGGCUCUCCUGGGAUAAACUGGCGACACCCAAAGUGAAGGGCGGCAUGGGUUUCAGGGAUAUGCAGGUGUUCAACCUUGCGAUGCGCGGGAAACAUGGUUGGCGCCUUCUUACAGAACCGGAGUCUCUAUGCGGACGAGUGUUGAAGGGCAAAUAUUAUCCACAUACUGACUUCCUUAAUGCUAGUGCUCCUGCUCGAGCCUCGGCUACUUGGAAGUCAAUCAUUGCUGGGAGAAAGACUUUGGAUGCCGGGCUUAUCAAAAGAGUUGGAGACAGCUCUACCAUCUCCACUUGGAUAGACUCCUGGAUCCCCGGCAAUCUCUUUCUGAAACCGAUGGGCCGCAUUGGUUCUGCUCCAUUGGCCACGGUCUCAGAGUUGAUCGAUGAGUACACAGGAAAUUGGAAUGUGGACAUCAUUCAAGCAAACUUCCUGCAACCGGACGUUGAGGCUAUCUUAAACAUACACGUAAACAGCGCUGGUGCUGAGGAUUCUUUGGCUUGGGCCUUGGAGAAAUCUGGCAACUACUCUAUAAAAUCCGUGUAUCGCUCUCUGGUGACUCGGAACGAGCACCGCUCUUUAGAGGAAGGGAUGAUUACAGAAGCUUCAUCAGCUAACAAACAGAUGUGGAAUGCCCUAUGGAAAUUACAUGUGGUUCCCAAGGUCCAUGUAUUCUGGUGGAGAGUACUUCGGGGAAUUCUACCGAACUCGGUAACUUUGCAGUGUCGACACAUUAAACCCUUGGGGCGGUGUGAUAUCUGCAAGGCCAUGGAUGAAAACUUGCUUCAUGCAUUAGUCCAUUGCUCUCAUGCAAGGCAGUUCUAG
rnacentral:rRNA from 1 species